CAUUACAAACCCCAUGUGCACUCUGCUUUACCUUUACGCGCUUUUGAAGUCAUUGGAACGGCCUUAUUUGAAAACUAAAUACAACUUUCAACAACGGAUCUCUUGGCUCUCGCAUCGAUGAAGAACGCGGCGAAAUGCGAUAAGUAAUGUGAAUUGCAGAAUCCAGUGAAUCAUCGAGUCUUUGAAUGCACCUUGCGCCCCUUGGUAUUCCGAGGGGCAUGCCCGUUUGAGUGUCGUGGUAUCCUCAACCUCUCGGUUGGACUUGGGCGCUGCAGGCUUGUCCUGGCUCGCCUCAAAUGAAUUAGCUGCGCUGGGUUUGGCUGGGAUGUGAUAGUUCUUACGUCUCGCCCUGCUUUGCUGUUGGCUUUGACCCCCCUCCACUUGACCUUUGACCUCAAAUCGGGUAAGACUACCC
rnacentral:rRNA from 1 species